CCGUAGCCCAAGAGAUCGGGAUAACACCUGGAAACAGAUGCUAAUACCGGAUAACAACAGAUGAUGCCUAUCAACUGUUUAAAAGAUGGUUNUGCUAUCACUCUUGGAUGGACCUGCGGUGCAUUAGCUAGUUGGUAGGGUAACGGCCUACCAAGGCGAUGAUGCAUAGCCGAGUUGAGAGACUGAUCGGCCACAUUGGGACUGAGACACGGCCCAAACUCCUACGGGAGGCAGCAGGA
rnacentral:rRNA from 1 species